CGUUUUCAGGCCUAUCACACAUCUCUAUCUGAUACUGGAAGUUGACUAGCGUGAAUAGACUCUUCUCCUCUCCCUCAAUUCCUCCCUCCCUCCUUCUCCUCCCAAAAAUGAAAAAUCCUUGGAAGCAAAAGAGGUAAUUUAAGAUUGAAAUUUUGCUUGAAGAUGGAAAGAGAGGAGGGAAGUACAGUGGAGGGUUUGAUAAUACAGCUCAGAGACACACUUUAGACACAACUGUCUCCGUUCCUGCCAAGUCACAGAGACUACACUGACUAGAUCCUUCAUUUUCUACUACUUCCAGAAGUGGACCACUCCAGUAAGAUCAAGGAUUUCAUGCCAGUUUCAGACACCCUUUCAUAUUCAGCUGGAUGAUAAGAACAGCAGUGGACUUCAGGCUUCCACCAGUACUUCUCCACUGAGACCAGUGGAAUAUUAGGCUACCCCAACACACUCAGUAUCAGUGCUGUUGAGCAACAAGGUGAAAUCAGGUAAUACUGCCAACCCCACAACCAUCAUGAAGCACAGUAAGGAGACUGAAGAGGUUCAUGGUUUCUCAAUCCGUUCUUCCUUCUGGAUCACCCGUAAAGACCACCUUCUCCUAAUCUUGGGCUAGACCUCUGCACAUGCAGUCAGACUGAGCUCUUGCAGCUUGUCUUGGGGAAGGGAUCCUGCCAAGUCAAAGUUUUAUUUCAUCCAUAACCUGAAGGGUUGCAGCUGUAGCUUGAUAAAGCUUUUGAGGCCAUAGACAGACAUUUUGGAGCACUUUAAAAUGCCACUGUACUUUGAAGCACCUCAAGAAGUUGCUGUUUCAUCCACUAACAUUUUUAGUGCUACAUAGGCAUGGGUGGAUCUAGGAUUUUGAAAAGGGGGAGGGGGGAGUGCAUAUUAUACUCCAGUUAGAGAAACUAGAUACUUUAAUAAUGUGCUAGGGGGCUAGCAUUACAUGAUUCAUUUAAGACUAAAGCAAAAACAAAUAUAACUAUUGGAAUGUGCACUAAUUUGCUAGGUUAUAUAUAAAAAUUUAAAAGACAAGGAACUAGCCAAAAUAGUGAAAAAAUAUUGUGGCAUUAUUCCCAUAGUCAUGAUAGUUAAAUGUACGCUGCUUACUCAGAUUCAUAAAACAAAAUCUGGUCUUCUUGAGCAUCUUGACAGUGCCUCCAGUACUUCACUGUCAGUCAUUUCUAUGUCUGAGUUAAUAUUACCACACCUGAGAUCAGGCUUUUAGCUAAUUUGUGUGCAGCAGGAAUCAAAGAAGGGUGCAGCUGCAGUCAUCCUGGUACUGCCCUUGUACAUAUGGCAUGUAGCAUAUCAUUACAAAUGUUGCAUCUGUCCAGGACCUGAGUGUAUAAAUACCGGUGUAGAAUCUCAGGGCACUGGGACUCACAAAUUCUUAUGUGAGUGGUACAAGAGGUAGACCAUGGCAUCCUUAGGCAGUGUGUAGUUUUUCUGAUGCUGUGGUGUGAGGUGUCUGCUAUACACAGUGUCCUCUAUCUACCAAAACAGGUUGUAAAGCCAUGGCAAUCCUCUUGAAUCAUAUCUCUUACAUUCAGAGCUCCUUUCUAUAACUGUGGUGUAGCAGGCAGCCAUUGGUGGAACUGCUGAACAGCUGCAGAAGGAGAAGCAGGGCAGCUGCUCAGGGCACUGCUUGCUAAAUAAACGUAGCCACAUAGAACGUGUCCAGAUGAGCGCGCACGUGCCUCUUGCCCCAUCUCAAACCCCUUUGAGGUGGGGCAAGAGGCAUGUGCAGGAAUGAAAAAAGGUUCCCCGCGCUGCAAGUUUGCAGUGCGGUGAGAAAAUUAGGCCCCUGGAUAUCCAAGGGUCUAAAAAAAAUGUUUUGCAGAAGAGCAGAACAAGACACGGUCCCAGACCAUACCAGGGAGUCAGUCCUCCAAAAGAGAUGCUCUGGUGUCAGCCAGAGUGUCUCUUUUGUUCUCCUGAUGACUCCAGCCCCCAGCGCUCUCCAAGGUAAGUGUGUGUGACUCGCACCGGUACAAAGCCAGACUAGUGAGACAUAUGGGGCUGGCCUAGGUCCCGCCACGUGCCACCCCCCUGCAGGCACAGCGAGGCAGAGGCAGGACCCAGCAUGGUGCACAGGGACUACACUCCGUGCUCAGCUAGGUCUUGCCAGCCCUGGGGCCCCUCUGCUGUCCGGCUGGGCCAGGCUUUUGUUGGCAGGACCCAAAGUGGCAUGCGGGAACCGCGUGCCAGGCCCAGCCGGGUCCUGCUGCCCUUGUGGCCCCUCUAAUGCCCAGCUGGGCCAGGCCCAUGGCGGUCACUCCGGGUCCUGCCGCCAUGGGUCCAGCCUGGCCGGGAGGCAAAGAGGCCCCAGGGCCGGCAGGACCCAGCUGGGCCCAACGCGUGGUCCCCACAUGCUGUGCCAGGUCCUGCCGCCAUGGCUCAGAGCGCCCCACUCCCGCUGCUGCUGCUAAAGGUAAGUUAUGGGCCCUGGGCAGGGGAGCUGUGGCCCUCCAAGGUGCCUGGGACCCUG